GGAGGUUCUCAGGUGACACACUCCGGAAUCGGGCUCUCCCUCUCUGGUUCCAGGUUUGUCACUCGAGAACUGCA
rfam:Myotis brandtii contig205705, whole genome shotgun sequence.